UCCACGCCGUAAACGAUGUCAACUAGCCGUUGGGUCUAUUUAUAGACUUAGUGGCGGAGCUAACGUAUUAAGUUGACCGCCUGGGGAGUACGGUCGCAAGAUUAAAACUCAAAGGAAUAGACGGGGACCCGCACAAGCGGUGGAGCAUGUGGUUUAAUUCGAUGCAACGCGAAGAACCUUACCUACCCUUGACAUGUAGUGAACUUACCAGAGAUGGUUUGGUGCCUUCGGGA
rnacentral:rRNA from 1 species